AGAGUUUGAUUAUGGCUCAGGAUGAACGCUGGCGGCGUGCUUAACACAUGCAAGUCGAACGAAGCACUUUAUUUGAUUUCCUUCGGGACUGAUUAUUUUGUGACUGAGUGGCGGACGGGUGAGUAACGCGUGGGUAACCUGCCUUGUACAGGGGGAUAACAGUUGGAAACGGCUGCUAAUACCGCAUAAGCGCACAGCAUCGCAUGAUGCAGUGUGAAAAACUCCGGUGGUAUAAGAUGGACCCGCGUUGGAUUAGCUAGUUGGUGAGGUAACGGCCCACCAAGGCGACGAUCCAUAGCCGACCUGAGAGGGUGACCGGCCACAUUGGGACUGAGACACGGCCCAA
rnacentral:rRNA from 1 species